ensembl:lncRNA
GUUGUUCCGUCGCUAAGUCAUGUCCGACUCUUUGAGACUCCGAGGGCUGCAGCACUCCCCACUUCCCUGUCCUUCACUGUCUCCUGGAGCUUGCUCAAACUCAUGUCCAUUGAGUCAAUGAUGUUAUCUAACCAUCUCAUCCUCUGCCGCCGCUUUCUUCUCUUGCCCUCAAUCUUUCCCAGCAUCAGGGUCUUUUCCAAUGAAUUAGCUCUUCGCAUCAGGUGGCCUAAGUAUCUUAGACAUGAAAUUUGAACCAGAACUUAGCUUUGCCUAUAAAGCUCCUUCUCCAGUGCCCCCAAACACCCCUCAGUCCCAGAUCCUGAUCUAAGAACAGUCCUAGACUUAGUGUGUUGGACUUACCCAACCUAGCCUGCAAGCAUCCUCAGUCAUUCCCCAACAGGUGAGGGUUUUACCAGCCAUCCCAAGGACAUAGGCCAAAUGGCUACAUGGAAAGGACCUUCUGACCUCAGUAGGAAUCAGAAGCACUAGAUUUUCCUUCCAACUUUGUCACUAACUCACUACAAUACCUGAGCCAGUUUUCUUCACCCUGUUGGACCUGGGUUAUCACAUCUGUAAUACAAAGGAGUGAAAAAUAACUAAGGAGAGCAGAUGGGUUUUAUGACUGGUGCCAACACUGAUAAACUGGUGGUGACUAGCUGAACUAUCACCAUGUGUAGAAGGGAAAUGUGCCAGGAUAGGUUAUUUUCCUUCAUUUGCAGGCUGACUGGCAUGAGAAGGCUGCAUUCCCUGAAAGAAACCAAAAGCCUACAGAGAAGCUAUCUCCUAGGCUUUCAACUUUUUGGUGAUUCAAGUUGACCCAUCCCAGCCUUGCUUAAAUGGCUGCUCCCCAAACUGGUUUUCCUUUAAAGGCAACAAACCCAGCUUAUCCUUCAGCCUGAUGAAAGACAAAAGUCCUGGGAAGUGGGGGCUUAUGGCCCCAACUGUUUUAUAUGCUGCUUUAUAAAGGGAUAAGAGAUAUGAAGGUAUAUAGGACUCAUUUUUUCCCCUAUGACUGACAUACUUUGAAAGUGGUCUUUUGUUUCUUUGACUUUCUUUGCCUCCAGAACUAGAAAGUGGGAUCCAUCCGGUUCCCAGCUCCAUCCUGCAAGAGGCAAAAUAGAUCCUGGGGAAAGGAGAGCGGGUGUCCUUCUACCUAAAUAUAAAAGCCUCUGCUCAACCCAGCACUAGAUUUCCCCAAACUAGCAUUCUCGUCCACAAAGGCACUUUCUGCUUUCCCUAGUACUUGAGAAACAAAACAACACUUGAUUCCCUAAUACUCUCUGUGUAGGCAAUGGGGUUUCUAGAGUCUCAUCUAAACACUCUCAGAGCGAUUAGCAGAGAUCAGAGUAAAAUGCAGAGGAAAUGUGCUUUCCUCAACUUAACAAACGUGAAUUAUUGCAAGUUCCAGGCACUGUGCUGAGAGUGCAAAAAUAAGUAAGACAUGGGUCUUGCUUUCAAGCAACUCACUGUGCAAGUAUUUUUGGAGGGAGGGAUAGGAGUGAGUCCCCAGUAUUUCCCCGUAAAACCAGAGUCUUCCUGACCCCUUGCCCGCCCAUCUGUGCAUGGGGAAUCUGAGGGCAUUGGAUCUUUGGUGUUGAUGGCUUUCUGCCGUUCUUCUUUGUCUCUGUUGCGUUUAUUAAAGUGCAUUAUAUGUA